UAGGAUAUAGCUGGUUUUCUGCGAAAUCUGUUUUAGCAGACUGUUUAAGAUAUUAUUAUUAAUAGGUAUAGCACUGAAUAUCUCAUUAAAAUAUGUGGGGAGUAUGAAAGUAUUUUCCUUAGGUAUUUAAUCUCAGAAUGAUUAAUAAGUGUAUUAAAUAGUCGGACUAUAUGCGAUAAGGUGUAUAGUCAAGAGGGAAACAGCCCAGAACA
rnacentral:rRNA from 1 species